UUAGGUAUAAAUAAAUUAGAUUAUUUACUAGAGUACUACGAACAAAAUCGUUUAAAACUCAAAGAGCUUGGCGGUGCUUUAGACUUCUCAGGGGAACCUGUCUCGUAAUCGACAGUCCACGAGUCAACCUCACCUUUUUUUGCGAUCAGUAUGUAUACCGUCGUCGUCAGGUAACUUUUAAAAACAUAGAAGUUAGCGAGAAAACCUUUAGUUUUUACGUCAGAUCAAGGUGCAGCUUAUAAAGAGGAGAAGAUGGGUUACAAUUAAAAAUUAUAAUUACGGAUAUUAGUCUUAAUGAUUUAAAAUGAAGGCGGACUUGAAAGUAUGAAUUAGUAGUCAAAUGUUUUGAAUUCAGCUCUGAAGCG
rnacentral:rRNA from 1 species